rnacentral:rRNA from 1 species
GCAGAUAUUUCCAUACUGCCACCGAAUACAUUACAUGGGAUAAUGGAAUAGGACCCUGUCCUUCAUGUUUCGCGUUGGUUGUGCCACGUGCGUGCGCUUCGCGGUGUGCGCGCGUGGCAUGGUUUCCUCUAAAGGAGGACCAGGGUAAUGAUUAAUAGGGAUAGUUGGGGGCAUUAAUAUUUAAUUGUCAGAGGUGAAAUUCUUGGAUUUAUGAAAGAUUAACUUCUGCGAAAGCAUCUGCCAAGGAUGUUUUCAUUAAUCAAGAACGAAAGUUAGGGGAUCGAAGACGAUUAGAUACCGUCGUACUCUUAACCAUAAACCAUGCCGACCAGCGAUUGGGAGACGUUUCACACGGGGGUGGUCCCCAUGGGGAGAGUGCGUGGGGGUGGCCGCUUCAUGCGGUGGCCUCCUCGCCUUUCCCUUUGGGGGGCCGCCCCCAAAAAAGGAACACCCCCCUAACAGCUUGAGAAAA